AAGGUGUUAACAAUAUGGAGAGGUGUUAACAAUAUGGAGAGGUGUUAACAAUAUGGAGAGGUGUUAACAAUAUGGAGAGGUGUUAACAAUAUGGAGAGGUGUUAACAAUAUGG